GACGAACCGUGCGAACGUUGUUCGGAUUCACUGGGCUUAAAGGGCGCGUAGGCGGGCGGCAACGUCGGGGGUGAAAUCUCACGGCCCAACCGUGAAACGGCCUCCGAUACGGGCCGCCUCGAGGGAGGUAGGGGCACGCGGAACUUCCGGUGGAGCGGUGAAAUGCGUAGAUAUCGGAAGGAACGCCGGUGGCGAAGGCGGCGAUCUGGGUCGAUACUGACGCUGAGGUGCGAAAGCGUGGGGAGCAAACAGG
rnacentral:rRNA from 1 species